CAGGUGUGAUUUUUUUUAAAACAAAUUGGACCAUUCAUUAUAAAAUUACUUAAAUAAAUAUUUGAAUUAUUCUAUAACAAAUCAAUCAAAUAGAUAUUCCCCUAUUUUCCUUUCAAUUACCUCGAAAUAAAAUCUUUUUAUAUCUUUUUAUUUUCAAUAUUAAUAUAUAUUUCAAUUUUCAUUCUAAUAAACCUAUUUAAAUAUUUAAUAAUUCCGUAUUUGUUUAAAAUAUAAAUGCAUAUUUUAUUUUCACUUAAAUAAACCUUUUAAAUAUUAAAUUUAUAUUUAUUUAGUAUAAAAGUAUAACUCAUUUUUCACUAAAACAAAUCUUUUAAAUAUCUCAUCAAUGCUAUUAAAUAAAUAAAUUUUUUUAUCUACUUACAAAUAGUCUAGGUUGGACCAUUACAUUAAUUAAAUUUUCUAUUAUUUCUCUUCCAACUAACUUAUGGGGGAAUUUUACUUCUACACUUUUUUUGGUACCACAUUUCAAGUAUACCACUAGUAUGAAGACAUUUUCAUAAAUACACUUUUCAUUAAUGACCAAAAGACCAUAUUAGCCCUAACCUUAUCUCUCUCUCGCGAUCCUCUUUUCUUCCUCUCUCUCUCGCGAUCUUUUUUCUUCCUUUCUGCCUCCGAUUCACCGGAGAUCCACCAUCUCUCUCGCGAUCUUUUUUCUUCCUCUCUGCCUCCGAUUCACCGGAGAUCCACCAUCUCUCUCUCAUUCCACCGGUUCUCUGCGGUUCACACUGUCGACUCCUACUUCUGUACAAGAUUCCCAACUGUUCCUGAGAAGCUGUGUUCAAGCUUAUAUGAGAACCACAACCCUGCCAGCACACAUUUGCUUUAAUUGUUGGUGAAUGGUCGAUUCACAAUAAGAAAGUUGGCAGAAUCUGAAAGUUUUGUUUUGGGUUCUGCGUUUCUUAACAGUUCAAUGUUGUGACUUACGUGUCUGUCUACUACUCAAUGUAGCUCAAUAUGUUAAUUAUUUACUCUAAUCUCUUGCAUGUUUCUUGACCAUAAUACAACAAACAGAGCGGUAGAAUCCAAUGAGAUGUGGAAGGCUCAGGAGCAAGAAAACAAAAGGCUCAAAAGAAAAUCAAGAAAGGAAAGCAGCAGCAGCAGUAGCCAAAUGAAGCGGAGUAGUAGUUUCUCGAAAAGGAGUUUGGAUAAGAAAUGUAGCUCCAUUAAUGAGGAGAGAAAGAUCACUCAUCAAUCAUCAUUGGACAAAAGAUUGUACUUGGAUGAUGAUGAUGAAGGUUUAGGAGAUGAUGAGAAUUGAGUCUUUUCUCCAAUCACGGAACAAACGUGGGAGAGGCUCUGUUGGUCCUAGGAUGGAUGAAAAUGUCCCUUAUCUUCCCACCGAGAAGGUUGAUCAAUUGCAAAGUUCUGAUACAAGGGAAAGGAAGGUAGUCUUGCUGCAGCUUGGGCUCUAGCUAAUCUAUAUUAUCUUGCAUGUUAGAAAGCUCUUAUAAGGGUUUAUAAAACUGUUUAUAAGAACUUAUAAAUCAUUUUUAAGGUUUUAAAAAUAUAUUUAUAAAAGUUUAUGAAUCUGUAUAUAAGGGUUUGUAAAAAUAUUAUAAGAGUUUAAUAAUCUUCAUAGCACAAUUUAUAAGAGUUAAUAAAUCUUUUUCAAGAGUUUAUAAAUCUUUACAAACAUUUAGAAGUAAAAUAUUCAUAAAGCUAUUAUAAGUGUCUAUAAUUCUAAUAUAAAUGUUUGUAAAUUAUUUAUAAUAAAUAAAAGAUUAUUUAUAAUGGUUUAUAAAACAAUUAAUAAGACUUUAUAAAAUCAGUCUAUAAGGUUUUUUAAAUAUAUUAUUAAAGUAUAAUUCAUUUAUAAGAGUUUAUAAAAUCAGUUUAUAAGGAUUAUAAAUAAUUAAUAAAUGUUUAUGAAUGAUUUAUGAAGAUUUAGAAAUCAUUUAUAAACCUUUAUCAAUAGUUUAUAUAUAUUCUUCAUGUGGUGGAAAACAGCGAGAUGAGGCAGCAGAGGUUCGUGGGGAUAUUGAGUUUGCUGUAUAGUUCUUAGCUAAGAAUAAGAGCGAGUGUCUCCAAGAAGAAUGGGGAGUGUUGGAGAAGUCUCCGGAGGCGGCUUUAGAUGUGGAUCAGACGAUCUUCGUGGUUAUGGCGGAAGACGUGGAGAGGAGCAAAACGACGGUGUUAUGGGCGGCAAGAAACUUCUCCAGCAAGAAGAUUUGCUUGCUUUACGUCCAUCGUCCUGCUCGGCCUGCCUCCUGCAGUGAAAAUCUUAUGCUUCUCUUUCUCUCUGACUUAACUAUUUUGUGGUGAAUUAUAGAAUAUUUAUGGAUGUUGAAUUGUUCUUGAGUGUAGAUUUGCUCAUGAAUCAUGAUUGAAUCUUACCGAGUCUAUAUAUAUAUCAUUUAGUUGAUUGUGGAUGAUGUUAAUGAUGUACCUCUGUUUGCUAAGAAAAUCUGAGAAAUGAUAUAAUUGUUUUAUAAAGAAGAGGCAGAGAAACCAUAUCAAAUUAUAUCAUCAUAAUAAAAUCCUUAUAAGGCUUUAUAAAGAUAAUAAAUAAUUUAUAAAUGUUUAUAAAUCAUUUAUGAAAAUUCAGAAAUCAUUUAUAAACCUUUAUCAAUAGUUUAUAUAUAUUCCUAUAAAUGAUUUAUAAAUCUUUAUAAAAUCACUUAUAAGAAUAUACCAAAUAUUUAUAAGGUUUUAUAAAAUCAUUUAUAAAUAUUUAGAAAGGUAAUUUCAUUUAUAAAGUCUUAAAAAUCAUUUAUAAGAUUUUAUAAAUCUUUACAUUUAGAAGUAAAAUAUUCAUAAAGCUAUUAUAAGUUUAAAAAGUUUAAAAAGUAAAAUCGGUGAUAUAAAUACAUGAAGAUGCUCGUUACUAAUUUUCUGAAAAAA